CCUACGGGAGGCUGUAGUGGGGAAUAUUGGACAAUGGGGGGAACCCUGAUCCAGCGACGCCGCGUGAGUGAAGAAGUAUUUCGGUAUGUACAGCUCUAUCAGCAGGGAAGAAAGAAAUGACGGUACCUGACUAAGAAGCCCCGGCUAACUACGUGCCAGCAGCCGCGGUAAUACGUAGGGGGAAAGCGUUAUCCGGAUUUACUGGGUGUAAAGGGAGUGUAGGCGGCGAUGCAAGUCUGAAGUGAAAGGCGGGGGCCCAACCCCCGGACUGCUUUGGAAACUGUAUGGCUGGAGUGCAGGAGAGGUAAGUGGACUUCCUAGUGUAGCGGUGAAAUGCGUAGAUAUUAGGAGGAACACCAGGGGCGAAGGCGGCUUACUGGACUGUAACUGACGUUGAGGCUCGAAAGCGUGGGGAGCAAACAGGAUUAGAUACCCUUGUAGUC
rnacentral:rRNA from 1 species